rnacentral:lncRNA from 1 species
GGCGGCGGGGGGUAAGAAGGCGAGGUGCGCCCGGUCCAGCCCGGCCUCGCCGCUCGACUACAGCGCCGGCUCCGCCUCCCUCCGCUCCGGCGCCUCCACCAGCGGCGGCGAGGACGGCGCCUUCUGCUCCCCCUGGCACCGCCGCGCGGCCACCGCGCCGGCGACGACGAUGACGAAGGUUCGUGCCUGCGUCCAUAUCCAUCCAUCCACCCCCCACGUCCCUGCCGCCGCCCUCCGCUUUGCUUUGGGUUCUUCUCCCUCCCCCACCACCAGCGUCUCUCUCUCUCUCUCUCUCUCUCUCUCUCUCUCUCCCCUAUCUCUGCGCUUUCCUUUCUUUCGUUUCUUUUUGCCCUUUUCGAUUUUUCUCCCCUGCCCCGUGACGAAACUGCCCCUACUGGUCAGCAGCAGCAAAGAUCCCUUCUUCCAUUCGCCAUGAUUUGAACACCGCCUUUGUCUACCUUCUCCAUCUCAUCUUCUCGUCAUCUCAUACCAUUUCAUCUCAAUCCCAUCUCGCUUGGCGCAGCAGCCGUGUCCUGCUCCGGGGAUCCGCAUUGGUUCGCGCCCUCCCGAAUUCCCACUUCAGUUACUCUACAAAACUACUGCCGGUUCCAGGGAAAAAAGCUGCCAUGAAAAAGCGAGCUGAAUUUCAGCAUCUUUUCCCAUAAGUGCGUGCGGAUUUGCUUAUGCAGAGCUGCUGGAGUGAUGCACGCAGUAGUUGAC